AAUGUAGAGGAAAUGAACUUCGCUGUGAGAUAGGCAUGCGUCCCAUUAGCUAGUUGGUGAGGUAACGGCUCACCAAGGCGACGAUGGGUAGGGGAACUGAGAGGUUGAACCCCCACACUGGUACUGAGACACGGACCAGACUCCUACGGGAGGCAGCAGUGAGGAAUAUUGGUCAAUGGGCGAGAGCCUGAACCAGCCAAGUCGCGUGAAGGAUGACUGUCUUAUGGAUUGUAAACUUCUUUUAUACGGGAAUAACAAGAGUCACGAGUGACUCCCUGCAUGUACCGUAUGAAUAAGCAUCGGCUAACUCCGUGCCAGCAGCCGCGGUAAUACGGAGGAUGCGAGCGUUAUCCGGAUUUAUUGGGUUUAAAGGGUGCGUAGGCGGCCUGUUAAGUCAGCGGUGAAAUCUAGGAGCUUAACUCCUAAAUUGCCAUUGAUACUGGCGGGCUUGAGUGUAGAUGAGGUAGGCGGAAUGCGUGGUGUAGCGGUGGAAUGCAUAGAUAUCACGCAGAACUCCGAUUGCGAAGGCAGCUUACUAAGGUACAACUGACGCUGAAGCACGAAAGCGUGGGUAUCAAACAGGAUUAGAUACCCUGGUAGUCCACGCAGUAAACGAUGAUAACUGGGCGUAUGCGAUAUACAGUAUGCUCCUAAGCGAAAGCGUUAAGUUA
rnacentral:rRNA from 1 species